GGUUGUGGCUCAGAGGUAGAGUGCUUGCCUAGCAUGCAUGAGGUACUAGGUUCAAUCCUCAGCACCA
rnacentral:tRNA from 1 species